AUUUUAGACGCACUCCGGUAACUUAAUAUUCGCUUGGUUCCUACGCGGGACUGGGAGGCGAGCUGUUGUUAUUAUUUUACCUGCAGGAAAAGGUAGUCGACACCACCCCCCUUUUCUACACCCAGCCAUACAGCAAAAGACAGUGGUACAAGCAUUUCACAGCAGCUGCUGCUUUUUACAGAAGUGGAAAAAUAUAUACACAGCUAGACAAGUACACCAUUUUUUGCAAGCCAAUACCUGGUGAUAAGAAGGUGACGUAUGGUAUAUUUGCCCUGUGGUUUUUUUUACGCAGAAUGACCCUACCAAUCAAUUAAAACUUCAGUCUGCCAUUUUAACCACUGCCUUGUUUCAAAGGCGACAUACAGAGAGGAUUUAGCUAUCUUACCGGGGGUGGCAGACAUCUUCUCAAACCACUAAUAAAAAUGGACUCUGAUGAGCCCACAAAAGCCAGGAGUUCCAACUGCAUGUGUAUUUCUCCAAGUUCUUCUUGCCAGUUCUCCCACCUGAUAGAACAGCUCCUACAACAA